rnacentral:sRNA from 1 species
CUAUUUGUGGUUUUCCUAUAGGUCUCUAAUGUGAAAUAGAAAGAUGUUGGCGGUCUUGAGGAUGUGAAGAAAUCGAUUCUGGAUACUGUUUUUGUAGAAUACUCAUCUUGAGUUGUUGAAUGUUUAAGAAUAAGUUGUAGCAAAUUGUAAAAUAAUUGCUUGCCACUGGUAGCUUCUUAAGCGGAAGAUCCUAUUCAAUUCCUUAUCUCAUUGUUGGAUUUUCCAUUCAAUUCCUUAUCUUACUGCUGUAUUUUUCAUGGAGUUUGGGUGCACAAUUACAAGGAGAGAAAGAGAGGGUGGGUGCAGUUAUUUUCUUUUUCUAUAUGCUUCCUUUCCCAAUUUGCUUAUCUGGUUGUUGGCGUUCGUCUUCCUCCUCAAGGUUUGAUUAUAUUGGGGUUGAGUUUUAAAGUGAGGGUGCAGGGGAACAAGGGUGCAUGAUGUGCGCGUAGGGUGCAGGGGUUUCAGGGGCGGUAGGGGGUGGGGUGUGCCUGUGAAUUGCAGAGCUGCUCAGCUCUUCCUCUAUAAGAUGAGUUUCAUCCCUGCCU